UUCGCAAGUUUCGUCGCGUCGCGAGAUUUCAAUGGAGUCGGUAGACGCUCGUUAUUGUUAUCGGGCUAAAAUCUUAAGUAUUAUAAUGUGUCGUGCUACACAGCACUGAGCUGAGAAUGGCGAUACUUCCGCGGAGCUCUGGAGCGUAGAAUUAUUUUCGUCCAAAUCCGCGAUAGAGGCAUAAAGAAGGGACGUGCGACAUCCUGCAGUGCAGGCGGCCAUUGCCGAGGCAUAAAUCAUCGACGCAAGGAUUGCAUUUCAAUGCUCGGGUCUUUCUCGCCGCACACCGAGAGAACUAUAGGGUCUCCUGUUUACGCACUCGAUGCGCUGUGCUUGUCGAACGGAGCCAAACGCGUUGCUCGUCGAGUGGUCGGCCGGGAAAACGACAGGAGGCGACACCCUCGUUACAGAUGCAGGGAACGCGUAUCCGGCGUGCAUAGCAGGACGACCAACAACAACACGACUCUCAGAAACUCAAACUCCUACAACCCCCGCCGACUCCCUCUUUAACUGACUCCGCACCUUCGACAUCGUCCUCCUUCCGAACCUUCUUCUCCCUGUGUCUCUCUACGUACCUCCUUUAUUUCCUGAGUCUGACUCACCUGCCCGUUCGCUGAAGAGAAUCGCUAACUAACCUCACUGCUAUAUCUCCAGAUACGUAAGGCACGAGUGGAAUGACAAAGCAUUUUGAGUCGAGGGUGUUACACCCUACAGUGUCAGUGAAAGCCACCUUUUUUACUCAUCUCCAGCCUGCAGCGACUGUCAGGAUCAUCUGUUCGGUUCGACGUAACCUUUUCGUAAGACUCCGCGAGAACAAGAGUGCCUGCGUUACUACGGCCAAUAGAAUAAAUCUCAGUUUGAGGCACGCAUGUGCGUAUGGCCGGAGCCACGCACUGGGCGUGUCGCACGCAACGCCCGGCACGUGGAUACCGAGGACUUGCGACGCCUGCACUUUAUUUCUCUAUGGGAUGGACGCGAUGCUACGCGUUGCGACGCGGUUUGUCUUCCUUGACGGCUGAUGGGCCUGUCGAACUACGCGACAGGAAUAAGACAUGCUGAAAUCGAACAGCGUCCAGGCGCAUUCAAUUAUCUGCUGCUUCGAGUGCGAAGGCGGCCAGCCAGCAGCGGUGACGCGUAGCCGCGUGGAAGGUAUCGGUCAUCCACCACGCGAAGGAAGAGACGAGCAGCCCGAUCGGACGUAUUUCUUCGCAGGAGGAUUUCAUAAGGAUAACAGGAGACGGCACGUCGAGGGACAGGAGAAUAAAGGUCGCGAGGAGAGCAGCAGCAGCAGCAGACACGGGCUCGUGCGUGGCGGAUAAUGUCGGUGCUGCCGUUUACUCUUGCGAGUCCACAUCACUUACAAGCGUAGGCCGUUCUCUUUCACCGUCGAGCACGAAUAUAAAAGUGAAUUAAGAUUCUCUCGUGCUCCUCCCCGGCGUUACGGCGAUCCGUCUGUCAACCGACGUCGGCCAAUCACGCACGGCCAUUUAUGUGUGCCGUAUUGUGAAACCAAUACAGCUACCGAGCGUAAAUUAUGAGCGCUCUUUAUUAUAUGUAGAUAAGCAUACGUACCGGAGCGCUUAUACCGCGCGCUUUCCUCCCUCUCUUCCACACAUGCUCACGCACAGGCACCACACUCCUUAUGGAUUCAAUUUCGCAAUGGCCAUCUUGGAUUUUCGACGGAGACACGAUUCGACAUAAACAACAAACAUACCGGCGGAAUGCAAGUCUUACUUUGCUAACAAACGACACCUGCUCCUUACGCUCCAACGGGGAUCCGUCCCAUCGAUCGCUGCUGUUCUUCCUGCCGAAUCGGAGGAAAAAAAGGAGAGACUCUGGGACGGACGAGAAAAAAGUGCGCGAACCUCUUCUUCGAUUUCGAGGCGGACAUCGAUUUUUAUUAAUACAUCAAUCGAGGUUGGGUAACCCGAGCCGACAACUCAUUUGGGUCCGGCUAAUCGAAUUAAGAUCGAACUCCCCGAUAGAGAGACGUGAGUCUCAACACCUUGUCAUUCAAGGUGGAAGCAUUCAAUUAGGAGGAUUCUGAUAUCUAGCCGUGCGCCAGGAGUAGGCGAUGAAUUAGUUGCGUAUCGUGUUCUUGUAGGACGGGAUCGAUCUAUCAAAAACAACCCGAUACUCGACGUUUCUCUACUCGUGCGAGACCACACGCAUCAUUUCUUCGGAAUCACCUGCAUUCAUAGAAUUCAUCAUCCGUAAGGAGUCGUCUCUUCUUUUGCGCCUUUACAUUGAUCGCUGACAAAUGAUUUGUGACAUUGGCUCAGUCGGCGACUGACUCCUAUCAGGGUGCUUAAGAUCAUUGACCUUUGGUAAUUGUCAGUAAUUAGUGCGGAGCUUAAGUAUCUUUACAAGCGAUCCCCAGACCCCUCUCUCUCUUUCU